rnacentral:tRNA from 2 species
GCCGACAUAGCACAGUUGGUAGUGCAACGCACUCGUAACGCGUAGGUCGCAAGUUCGAGUCUUGCUGUCGGCACCA